rnacentral:lncRNA from 1 species
UCCUAUAUGUAUUAUUUUGGAGGGUACCCCAAAGAAUCUAGGGGAUAUAACUUCUAUCUUGUCAAAGAACAAAAAUUGUUCGGUAUUUUUUUUAGAAAAGAGAGUACCUUAGUAAAGAAACUGAUGCCUUUAAUGUGGAACUUAUGAAGUUCAACAGGUAGAGGAACGGACAUAAUUUAAUGAACCUAUAGAAUCGAAUUUGAUUAGAUCAAACUCAAAACUCGUUGUAGUGGCACUAUUAAGG